GCCCCCGUAGCUCAACAGGAUAGAGCGGCGGAUUUCUAAUCCGCAGGCUGGGGGUUCAAGUCCCUCCGGGGGCG
rnacentral:tRNA from 1 species